AUUGAACGCUGGCGGCAUGCCUUACACAUGCAAGUCGAACGGUAACAGGUCUUCGGAUGCUGACGAGUGGCGAACGGGUGAGUAAUACAUCGGAACGUGCCCGAGAGUGGGGGAUAACGAGGCGAAAGCUUUGCUAAUACCGCAUACGAUCUCAGGAUGAAAGCAGGGGACCGCAAGGCCUUGCGCUCACGGAGCGGCCGAUGGCAGAUUAGGUAGUUGGUGGGAUAAAAGCUUACCAAGCCGACGAUCUGUAGCUGGUCUGAGAGGACGACCAGCCACACUAGGACUGAGACACGGCCCAGACUCCGACGGGAGGCAGCAGUGGGGAAUUUUGGACAAUGGGCGCAAGCCUGAUCCAGCCAUGCCGCGCGCAGGAUGAGGGCCUUCGGGUUGUAAACUGCUUUUGUACGGAACGAAAAGACUCUGGUUAAUACCUGGGGUCCAUGACGGUACCGUAAGAAUAAGCACCGGCUAACUACGUGCCAGCCGCCGCAGUAACAC
rnacentral:rRNA from 1 species